GAUGAAGAACGUAGCGAAAUGCGGUAAGUAAUGUGAAUUGCAGAAUUCAGUGAAUCAUCGAAUCUUUGAACGCACAUUGCGCCCGCCAGUAUUCUGGCGAGCAUGCCUGUUCGAGCGUCAUUUCAACCAUCAAGCCCCAGGCUUGUGUUGGAGCCCUGCGGCUGCCGCAGCCUCCCAAAACCAGUGGCGGGCUCGCUAUCACACCGAGUGCAGUAGUUUACUCUUCGCUCAGGGCGUGUGGCGGGUGCUAGCCGUGAAACCCCCAACUUCUCAAGGUUGACCUCGGAUCAGGUAGGAAUACCCGCUGAACUUAAGCAUAUCAAUAAGCGGAGGA
rnacentral:misc_RNA from 1 species